AAAUUGAAGAGUUUGAUCAUGGCUCAGAUUGAACGCUGGCGGCAGGCCUAACACAUGCAAGUCGAACGGUAACAGGAAUCAGCUUGCUGAUUCGCUGACGAGUGGCGGACGGGUGAGUAAUGUCUGGGAAACUGCCUGAUGGAGGGGGAUAACUACUGGAAACGGUA
rnacentral:rRNA from 2 species